rnacentral:rRNA from 1 species
UACGUAGGGUGCAAGCGUUGUCCGGAAUUAUUGGGCGUAAAGAGCUCGUAGGCGGUCUGUCGCGUCGGGAGUGAAAUCCACUGGCUUAACUGGUGGCUUGCUUUCGAUACGGGCAGACUGGAGGCAUGCAGGGGAGAACGGAAUUCCUGGUGUAGCGGUGAAAUGCGCAGAUAUCAGGAGGAACACCGGUGGCGAAGGCGGUUCUCUGGGCAUGUCCUGACGCUGAGGAGCGAAAGUGUGGGGAGCGAACAGG